rnacentral:rRNA from 1 species
UACAGAGGGUGCGAGCGUUGUCCGGAAUCACUGGGCGUAAAGGGCGCGUAGGCGGUCCGGUAAGCGCGCGGUGAAAGCCCGGGGCUCAACCCCGGGUCGGCCGUGCGGACUGCGGGACUGGAGCCGAUCAGAGGCAGGCGGAAUUCCGGGUGUAGCGGUGGAAUGCGUAGAGAUCCGGAAGAACACCGGUGGCGAAGGCAGGUCUCUGGGCAUUAACUGACGCUGAGGAGCGAAAGCAUGGGGAGCGAACAGG